CACCAACACCCCACCACUACCACCACCACCAACACCAACACUACCACCACCACUGCCACCACCACCACCAACACCACCACCACCAACACCAACACCAGCACCACCACCCCCACCACCACCAGGAGGGUGUGGAAGGUGCCAGCCAAUCAACAGAGACCUUGUUGGUACGCUUUAUUUACACACCACAUUUACUGUUGAAACCCCUUCUGUUUGUUAUUUUAUUUUUCUUUACAUUUGUUUGUUACUUCAGAGCCGUCUCAGAAACAGCAAUGUCUGAAAUGGUUAUGUAAUUGUAAAGAAGAACCAGAUUCCUGCCUUUUGGCCUCCAAGCCCACCCAAAUGAAGGAGCUGGAGUCUGGUAGCUCUCUCUCUCUCUCUCUCUCUCUCUCUCUCUCUCUCUCUCUCGCUCUCUCUCUUUGUCUGUCAGGCCUGCAGCUCAAGCAGCUUAAGAUAAGACCAGGGCCUAUAUCCACGAAAUCUCAGAGUAAGAGGGCUGAUAUAGGAUCAGCUUUGCCUUUUAAGAUCAUAAUGAAUAAGAUUAUAUGGACGGGGUGGGGACGUGAUCCUAGAUCAGCACUUGUACAUUUUGUACAUUUUUUUUUGUAAAUAUUUUUUUUAGUCAUUUAGCAGACGCUCUUAUCCAGAGCGACUUACAGUAGUGAAUACAUACAUUUCAUACAAUUUCAUUUCAUACAUUUUCUUUUUUUUUUUUUUACUGUACUCUGAGAUGCUUUCUGAAUACAGGCAUGAUAAUGACCAUAGAAAAGUUGGCUAUAGAGUUGGCUAUAGAUAACACACGCAGAUCUGAGAACAGGCUAUAGCAGAGCCACAACACAACACAACUACACACCAGACUGGAUGCCAUCCACAGGUCAUCAUUGAGUGUCUGGAUGUGUAGGGCAACACUGCCACCUGCUGACUGACUACCACAUUUACCCACUGUACCCCACAGACUGGCAAGACCGAUGAAGUUGACCACAUUUCAAAAGUUACUGCAGUGACACCGUCAGCAAAUCAAUAUCAAUCAUUUUCUACUUUGUCUAAUUUAAUUGGACCAGGAAGACUUAAAGGAAACAGGGACUAUGGCUCAAACGAUUGCAAUGUUUUUUUUUUUGUAAACCGAUAGGGAUUAAACAAUUGCUAACACAAACAAGUUAUGUAAUACUGUCAAAAUUAUGGCGACAGGGUCUGUUAUCCAUGAAAAGAGCCAUGUGUGGGUUCAGAGGUCAUGUGUGGGUUCAAAGCAUUGUAACGGAUCAUGAAAACAGUCUCUGUUCCAAAACCGAGCGUGGUUCAAGGAGGACAGAGAUGGACCAAAAAACACACACGUGGAAAUACACAGAAACGGAUCGACACAAAGAGCAGAGGGUGCAGAGUUAGAUACAGUUGAAAUCGGAGGUUUACAUACACCUUAGCCAAAUACAUUUAAACUCAGUUUUUCACACUUCACAAAAUAGAUGGCAUCAUGAGGGAGGAAAAUUAUGUGGAUAUAUUGAAGCAAGAUCUCAAGACAUCAGUCAGGAAGUUAAAGCUUGGUCACAAAUGGGUCUUCCAAAUGGACAAUGACCCCAAGCAUACUUCCAAAGUUGUGGCAAAAUGGCCUAAGGACAACAAAGUCAAGGUAUUGGAGUGGCCAUCACAAAACCCUGACCUCAAUCCUAUUGAAAAUUUGUGGGCAGAACUGAAAAAGUGUGUGCAAGAAAGGAGGCCUACAAACCUGACUCAGUUACACCAGCUCUGUCAGGAGGAAUGGGCCAAAAUUCACCCAACUUAUUGUGGGAAGCUUGUGGAAGGCUACCCGAAACAUUUGACCCAAGUUAAACAAUUUUAAGGCAAUGCUACCAAGUUCUAAUUGAGUGUAUGUAAACUUCUGACCCACUAGGAAUGUGAUGAAAGGAGUAAAAGCUGAAAUAAAUAAUUCUCUCUACUAUUAUUCUGACAUUUCACAUUCUUAAAAUAAAGUGAUGAUCAUAACUGACCUAAGACAGGGAAUUUUUACUUGGAUUAAAUGUCAGGAAUUGUGGAAAAACGGAGUUUAAAUGUAUUUGGCUAAGGUGUAUGUAAACUUCAGACUUCAACUGUAUAUAUGACAGAUAUAUAUAUAUGACAGGUGCAGAAUUUAUGUCGAUAGUACAUAAGGGUUGCGUAAGAAGGGCUUUUUUCAAGGGGUGACUAAUAAGAGAAACAUUUACUUAGUCAAUGACAGAAAAGCAACAGAACAGAGUAACAGAACACAGCAUCCAACUCAAAUCAACAGUGAGGUUAAGGCCUAUUGGUCACAACACCAUAACAGGACUGCCUCAGACUCACAAUGGAGUUGGUAUCAGUGUCAUUCGAACCUGUUAGUGUCAUCAGUCUCUGGACUUCACUGUUGAUCCCCGUGAUCUGUAUCAUUUUGUUUCUACGGCGGGAGAGACACUUAUUCUGUCCACUUCUAAGAGAUCUGUUUCUAGCCUGAGUUACAGGUCUGUUUCUAGCCUGAGUUACAGAUCUGUUUCUAGCCUGAGUUACAGAUCUGUUUCUAGCCUGAGUUACAGAUCUGUUUCUAGCCUGAGUUACAGAUCUGUUUCUAGCCUGAGUUACAGAUCUGUUUCUAGCCUGAGUUACAGAUCUGUUUCUAGCCUGAGUUACAGAUCUGUUUCUAGCCUGAGUUACAGAUCUGUUUCUAGCCUGAGUUACAGAUCUGUUUCUAGCCUGAGUUAGGUGGAGUUGGCAAGACAGCACAAACUGUGGUGUGGUGAUGACGAUGAUGACGAUGAUGACGAUGAAAUGUUGUCUCACAGAGGCGUCGACACAUCUAAUUGGGCUAGGAGAGAGAGGGAAACUGGAGCACUAUCAUCAUUAUCCUCCACCAGGAGAGAGAGGGAAACUGGAGCACUAUCAUCAUUAUCCUCCACCAGGAGAGGGAGGGAAACUGGAGCACUAUCAUCACUAUCCUCCACCAGGAGAGAGAGGGAAACUGGAGCACUAUCAUCACUAUCCUCCACCAGGAGAUAGAGGGAAACUGGAGCACUAUUCUCCACCAGGAGAGAGAGGGAAACUGGAGCACUAUUCUCCACCAGGAGAGAGAGGGAAACUGGAGCACUAUCAUCACUAUCCUCCACCAGGAGAGAGAGGGAAACUGGAGCACUAUCAUCACUAUCCUCCACCAGGAGAGAGAGGGAAACUGGAGCACUAUCAUCACUAUCCUCCACCAGGAGAGAGAGGGAAACUGGAGCACUAUCAUCACUAUCUUCCACCGGGAGAGAGAGGGAAACUGGAGCACUAUCAUCACUAUCCUCCACCAGGAGAGAGAGGGAAACUGGAGCACUAUUCUCCACCAGGAGAGAGGGAAACUGGAGCACUAUCAUCACUAUCCUCCACCAGGAGAGAGAGGGAAACUGGAGCACUAUCAUCACUAUCCUCCACCAGGAGAGAGAGGGAAACUGGAGCACUGUCCCCCACCAGGAGAGAGAGGGAAACUGGAGCACUACCAUCACUAUCCUCCACCAGGAGAGAAAGGGAAACUGGAGCACUAUCAUCACUAUCCUCCACCAGGAGAGAGAGGGAAACUGGAGCACUAUCAUCAUUAUCCUCCACCAGGAGAGAGAGGGAAACUGGAGCACUAUCAUCACUAUCCUCCACCAGGAGAGAGAGGGAAACUGGAG
rnacentral:lncRNA from 1 species